UUUAAGUACUACUUUCUGAACGUAAAAACUACGAUGCCUACCAUCGGUUCGGGAUCUAGCCCGGCGAGAAGAAUCGGCGUAAGAAACUCGCACGUGGUAAUCUUUUAC